rnacentral:rRNA from 1 species
GAUGAACGCUGGCGGCGUGCCUAAUACAUGCAAGUCGAGCGAACAGACGAGGAGCUUGCUCCUCUGACGUUAGCGGCGGACGGGUGAGUAACACGUGGAUAACCUACCUAUAAGACUGGGAUAACUUCGGGAAACCGGAGCUAAUACCGGAUAAUAUAUUGAACCGCAUGGUUCAAUAGUGAAAGACGGUUUUGCUGUCACUUAUAGAUGGAUCCGCGCCGCAUUAGCUAGUUGGUAAGGUAACGGCUUACCAAGGCGACGAUGCGUAGCCGACCUGAGAGGGUGAUCGGCCACACUGGAACUGAGCCACGGUCCAGACUCCUACGGGAGGCCGCAGUAGGGAAUCUUCCGCAAUGGGCGAAAGCCUGACGGAGCAACGCCGCGUGAGUGAUGAAGGUCUUCGGAUCGUAAAACUCUGUUAUUAGGGAAGAACAAAUGUGUAAGUAACUAUGCACGUCUUGACGGUACCUAAUCAGAAAGCCACGGCUAACUACGUG